GCUAUUCAGCUGUCGGGCUAAUCAGCAGUCGAGGUGUGCGGCUAGGCGCGAGCUCUGCGGGAGCUCAGCCCCCGGGAGAGACCCGGCAGCGGCGCGGCGAGGACGGCGGCGCGGCGAGGACGGCGGCGCGGCGAGGACGGCGGCGCGGCGAGGACGGCGGCGCGGCGAGGACGGCGGCGCGGCGAGGACGGCGGCGCGGCGAGGACGGCGGCGCGGCGAGGACGGCGGCGCGGCGAGGACGGCGGCGCGGCGAGGACGGCGGCGCGGCGAGGACGGCGGCGCGGCGAGGACGGCGGCGCGGCGAGGACGGCGGCGCGGCGAGGACGGCGGCGCGGCGAGGACGGCGGCGCGGCGAGGACGGCGGCGCGGCGAGGACGGCGGCGGACCGGGGCAGCCCCGCGCCCUGGCCAGGAAUAAUCGGUGGAGAUGGAUUGUGAAAUGGAGGUGCAUAAAUAUCCAGUUUGCCAACCGAGCUAAGAAAUGCUGGAUAAAAGUAAAAGCUCUACUGAGAUGAAGAAAGAAAAAGAAUACCUGCUCAGCUCCAGAGACACGUAAAGGGACAGAGAUUGGGGGACAGAAGGAAGUGCAUUAAUUCCUUCCACGACCCCUGAAGAGCAGCGGUGGGUCUGAGCAUCCUAUCUCCAGGAAGCAGGCCAGCAGGCAAGCCAGCUGCCACCUCGUCCUGUGCAAAGCACAGGCACCGUCCCCAAAAGAUUUCCAAAGAUGAUGUUAAACCCAGCCACGGUUCUGAUCUCCAGGAAAGCAAUUGCUGUGGUACAAAAGGACAAGGGUUAAAAGAGAACAGUGGGAGCUCUCUUUCCCAACUAACUCACGCAGUGUGACGCAGAGGCUUUCAGCACAGCCCAGGGUGCCCGGGACUGAAAACUCCUUCACCAGCCCCCUCCACAGGAUAUAGAAGACUUAGAUCACUACGAGAUGAAAGCAGAGCCCAUUAGUGGGAAAAAGUUGGAGGAUGAAGGAAUUGAAAAAGAAAAUUUGGCAAUAUUAGAGAAAUUAGGAAGACUGAAAGACAAGAGCAUUUAACUGCAAACUGUUGUCGUUGUCAACUGGGUUGUCUUCCUGAAGUAUGAAUCCGGUAUGUAUUGUGUGGAGGAGCAUUACGUAUUGAACUUCUCACAAAACAGGGCUGAAGCAGUGCCUACUCGACAGAACCGGUCAUCGUACAAAGAAAUGCCACGUGACUCAAAGGCAAAGCCAGAGUGCAGCUUGGAGCAAAGAAGAUGAUGUCUCACUCUGUCACCCAAGAUGGAGUGCAAUGGCACGAUCUCAGCUCACUGCAACCUCUGCCUCCCAGGUUCAAGCAAUUAUCCUGCCUCAGCCACCCGAGUAGCUGAGAUUACAGGCCUCUGCCACCAUGCUCAGCUAUUUUUUGUAUUUUUAGUAGAGACGGGGUUUCACCAUGUUGGGCAGGCUAGUCUUGGAACUACUGACCUCAGGUGAUCCGCCCACUUUGGCCUCCCGAAAGUGCUGGGAUUACAGUCAUGAGCCACCAUGCCCAGCCUAUUUAUUUCUGAUUCUUUAAGGGUGACUGGACGUGUUGAUCAGCGCUCGCUGGGAUUUGGCUGACGUGGCCCCAGCCCCGCCUCCCUCCCCACCCCACAAUGGCAGAAGAAACUGGACAGAGUAAAUUAGCUGCAGCCAAGAAAAAGUUCAAAGAAUAUUGGCAGAGAAACCGCCCUGGUGUUCCAGCAGCAGCGAAGAGGAACACGAAAGCAAAUGGCAGUAGCCCUGAGACGGCCGCUUCUGGUGGUUGCCACUCAUCUGAAGCUGUGAGUCUUGCCUGGACAGGCUUUUGGGGACAGGGGGCCCAAGGAGCAGUAGAGGGCAAUCGUUAAGAUUGUGGAUGGACUGUUGGGUACUGGUGAAGGAUUCUGGAUUUGGCCGGGCACAGUGGCUCACGCCUGUAAUCCCCACACUUCGGGAGACCGAGGCAGGUGGAUCACAAGGUCAGGAGAUCGAGACCAUCCAGGCAAACACGGUGAAAUACUAAAAAAUACAAAAAAAAAAGCCGGGCGUGGUGGCGGGCGCCUGCAGUCCCAGCUGCUCCGGAGUCUGAGGGAGGAGAAUGGCGUGAACCUAGGAGGCGGAGCUUGCAGUGAGCCAAGAUCACGCCACUGCACUCCAGCCUGGAAGGCAGAGAGAGACUCCGUUUCAAAAAAGAAAAGAAUUCUGGGUUUGAAUCCUGCCUCUCCGUCUGCUAGGGAUAUGAUUUAGGGCAAGUUGCUUGAGCUCUUUGGGCCUCUGUUUUCACGUCUGUAUGAUAGAGGUGGUAUUGUUUGACUUGUAUUUGUGAAGUUUCAAUGAGAUUGAUAAUUGUCGAUUUUAUGUUAAUCCCUAGUACAUGGCCUGCUGUCAACACCCAGGACACCCAGGAUAUGGUCUUUGCUGUUUGAUUUUCCUCAUCCCCAGUCUCAAGGGGAAGCCAGGACAAUGAGAACAGCCACUUCCCAUCAGGAGUCACUGCAAGGCCCCCAGGGUGGGAUGGUGGGGAGAUAAGAACCGUGAGAGAAGUUGGCACAAAGGAGUUAUGGGACAAAGGGUCCAAGAUAGGCAGAAAAGAAAAUGUUGCCAGUUGAUGGGGAAGAAAGGAAGUCGGAGGGCUCAGACACUGAGGGGGACAGAACAUCUCCAUGUGCAGUCUCAUCUCUUAUAGUCAGCAACAGGUAUCCACGGGGAGGGCCCUACAUCAUCUGCUACCCUGAAGGAUCUGGAGGUAGGAGGCUCUGGGCGGAGGUGCAGUGACCCCGCAGGCCAGCCCUCCAACCUCCUCCCGCAGCGGGGACUGGGUGCCCCUCUGCCAGCUGAGACAGCCCACACACAACCCAGCCCUAAUGAUCGUUCUCUCUACCUCUCCCCCAAGUCCUCCUCCGCCUCCUCCUCUCUGCAUGCGCGUCAGAGCCCGUGCCAAGAACAAGCAGCAGUCCUGAACUCGAGGUCCAUAAAAAUCAGUCGACUGAAUGACACCAUCAAAUCUUUGAAACAACAGAAGAAACAAGUGGAACAUCAGCUGGAAGAAGAAAAGAAAGCAAACAAUGAGAAACAGAAAGCUGAAAGGGAGCUAGAGGGUCAAAUCCAGAGAUUGAACACAGAGAAAAAGAAACUAAAUACGGACCUGUAUCACAUGAAACAUUCUCUCAGAUACUUUGAAGAAGAGUCCAAGGAUCUGGCCGGCCGCCUGCAACGUUCAUCGCAGCGUAUAGGAGAGUUAGAGUGGUCUCUCUGUGCUGUCGCCGCCACACAGAAGAAGAAGCCGGAUGGGUUCUCGAGCCGCAGUAAAGCACUUCUCAAGCGGCAGUUAGAGCAGUCCAUACGGGAGCAGAUACUGCUGAAAGGACACGUGACACAGUUGAAGGAGUCGCUUAAAGAAGUCCAGCUGGAGAGAGAUCAAUAUGCUGAACAAAUAAAAGGAGAGAGGGCCCAGUGGCAGCAGAGGAUGAGGAAAAUGUCGCAGGAGGUUUGCACAUUGAAGGAGGAGAAGAAGCAUGAUACGCAUCGGGUAGAGGAGCUGGAGAGGAGCUUGUCCAGACUCAAAAACCAGAUGGCUGAGCCACUGCCCCCGGAUGCCCCAGCAGUGUCCUCUGAGGUGGAGCUGCAAGACCUGAGGAAGGAGCUGGAGAGAGUGGCAGGAGAGCUCCAGGCUCAGGUGGAAAACAAUCAGUGCAUCAGUCUCCUGAACCGUGGGCAAAAGGAGAGGCUUCGCGAGCAGGAGGAGAGGCUUCAGGAGCAGCAGGAGAGGCUUCGGGAACGGGAGAAGAGGCUUCAGCAGCUGGCCGAGCCACAGAGCGACUUGGAGGAGCUGAAGCACGAGAACAAGAGCGCACUGCAGUUGGAGCAGCAAGUAAAGGAGCUGCAGGAGAAGCUGGGCCAGGUGAUGGAGACGCUCACCUCGGCCGAGAAGGAGCCAGAGGCAGCAGUCCCAGCCUCAGGGACUGGGGGCGAGUCUAGCGGCCUUAUGGACCUCCUGGAGGAGAAGGCGGACCUGAGGGAGCAUGUGGAGAAACUGGAACUUGGAUUCAUCCAGUACCGGAGAGAGAGAUGCCAUCAGAACGUACAUCGCCUUCUAACAGAGCCAGGGGACAGUGCCAAAGAUGCGUCACCGGGAGGAGGCCAUCAUCAGGCUGGCCCAGGACAAGGAGGAGAGGAAGGUGAAGCUGCUGGAGCUGCAGGAGAUGGUGUUGCGGCUUGUGGCAGCUACAACGAGGGGCACGGCAAAUUCCUGGCCGCUGCCCAGAACCCUGCUGCUGAACCCAGUCCAGGAGCCCCAGCCCCCCAGGAGCUCGGGGCUGCCGACAAGCAUGGUGAUCUUUGUGAGGCGAGCCUCACCAACAGCGUGGAGCCUGCACAAGGAGAAGCCAGGGAGGGUUCUUCCCAGGACAACCCUACUGCACAGCCAAUCGUGCAGCUCCUUGGUGAGAUGCAGGACCACCAGGAGCACCCAGGCUUGGGCAGCAACUGCUGUGUGCCAUGCUUUUGCUGGGCUUGGCUGCCGAGAAGAAGGAGAUAAACACCACCAUCAUCAAAGAGCUGCUCAAGAAAUUUUUAAAAACGAAACAAAGUUAUGGGGUUAAUCUCCUACACAAUUCAUUUACUUCAUUUGAAUGUUAGAGCUACUCAUGAUUAUUUGUGUUUCUAAUUUAUAGUUUAAGUUUAUUUGUAAAAAGUUAAAAGAGAGUGGGUCUCUGUGGCUCUCACUGAUGUUCACUCUGGCAUCCUUCAGCAUUUUUCUUUUUUCAUUUCAUAAUUGUAGGUCAUUAGCAUGCAUAUCGAGUUUGCCCUUACGUGGUGGGAGUUCAAACACACAAAGACCCACUCUUUGCACAAAACUGUUCUCGCUGGUUUGGAAUAGGCUCCCGUGCUUUUCUAAUGUUAUUGCAGCAUGGAUGUCCAUUACAGAAUUCAGAUAAAAUUUGCUAAUGUUCUGCUAUGAUGUUUGAUCUCAUCUUAAUCACAGUGAGCUCUUCUAUAGCUCAAUAUGCGGUUUGCCCUCAAGUGUGCACUGUUUAUUACUUUGUAAUAUGCCACUGUGAGUACUGACAUUUAGAGCUGUUUAAAGGCCGAGAACUGGAAACAGCCUUUCCUCCAUUUUCUGUGUAUUGGUGAUGGGAGUGAUAACCUUUUGGGGGAGCUUUCUAAAUCUCACAGAAGAGGAAAGUGGCCUGCUCUGGCAGGUAUGUGCAGGAUACAGUGUGUUUCAUCUGUUCCGGUGCCAAGAAUGAGCAGUGUACUGUGGCAGUUCCCUUUGGAUUUGUAUGUGCUCUGGGCUCAUGAAGAUAUUGCAUCGUGAGCUGCAGCAGUUGCACUCUUUUUCAAUGACCUAAAAAGGGCUUAUUUCCGAGGAAUGAAAGGCUGCCAUCAUUGGCUGUGGGUGUGAAAAACCUUUCCUAGCUUAGAGCAUUUGUAUCUACAAUACAUUUUAAAGUCAGAGUUCGUGUUCCCUGUUUUAAUCACAUGACUACCUGUCCCAGUACACGAAAGGGCGCUGGUUGGCAUUCUUCUUAAUGUAUUUAGUGAAGAUCAUAAGAAAUCCUUUAAGAGUUUAAAUGUCUCUGAAACAGGCAUACAGGCUCUAGUCAAGAAUGAAUUAGAGUGAAGGAAAGCUGUGUGACACCUGGCAUUCCUCUCUGUUCAUGGAGCUUCUUUGAGGCUUGAAGUUUGAUUUUACUAUCUAGACCUCUCUGGCUAAUACCUAUUCUUCAACCACCUCGGUUACUCUGACAUAGGAAUUUACUUCUUUUCCUUGAGUGGAAAACACUUUAGAAAGUAAUAACAAACAUUAUUAUAAACUAAUAUAUGUGAGAGUACUUAGUUGAAACAAAAAGGAAUUUUAGUAGACAGUAUUAUAUUAUCUUUGAAAAUCAAGGAGAAGUUUAUGCAACUUAAAAUGUUUACACACUGUGGUGCAAUCUACUGUUUGUGAAUGUCUGUAUUAUCAGGAAACAUGUCUAUACGAUCGCAGAGUUGUAUUUCCUCACAAACUUCUUUACGAAGAGUGAAAUACGUUUUUGUACCUCUCAUUUUCAGUCAGGGACAUACUUUGUGCAAUAUUUCUGUGAUUGUGCCUAUGCAUGAUGAAUGAAUGCAUUUCAAUCAUACAUUGCCUAAAUCAUAACUUGAUGAUGCUUGGGAAAGAAUCAACAGUUAAAACUUCAUGAAGUUCUAAUGUCUGUGUUCCAAAACACAUCACAUUAUUAGGUUGUAGGGAGAUAUGUAGGUGUGCUCCCUGGGGUGGGGAGUUUUCUAGUUACUAGACCAUCUCCAUUUUUAGCACUUGGCAGCCUCAUGAUCCUUUUAUAAAUGUGAGAUUAACAGGAGAGCAGCAAUACGAUUUUGCCAAUGGAAUAACAGAUUUGCCGGCAUUCACUGAAAGAGGGCAGAUAUUGGGUCCUUGUAACUUCAACUGACUCUUCCAAAUUGUAUGAAUUUAUCAAUGUAUUACACAAAUCCAGUUUCAGAAUGAUAAAAAAUGUUAGACCAAAUAAUGCGGCUAAUUAACAGUCGUAUGAUUUCUAGCCCAUGGGUUUAAAACUGUAUCUUAAAGAGUCAUUUUAAAAUAAUAUAAAUAUUAAAAAAUGUAACUGCUAUCUUAAUGUUCUGAAAUAAAACAUUUUAAAAUAUAAAUCCUGUAGUUUAAAAGGAAGAAAUGGUGGGAAGGAAAAGUAGAGAAAGAAAUGCCAAUUACAGGCCAAAGCGUUAUUUGCCAAGUUUUCUUAGAAUGAAUUUUACCAAUGUAUGAGUUCUUGUUAACAGAAUGUGUAACGGAAAUACUGAAAGACUUUUGCUUAAAGUGGCAUUAUUGACUGCUGAUGUGAUGCUACUGUAAUGCAAUAAAUUUUUAAACUGUUGCAAA